rnacentral:lncRNA from 1 species
GUCCAAUAAGGCAAUUAAACCCAACCCUAACCCAGUAACCCUACCACAAAAAUUGGAAAAUUGGAAUCAACGUCUGGGUCUGCCGUCCGCCCGUCCCCAAUUUUUUCUUCUCCUUCAUGUUUCACACCAUGUAUUUCUCUCCUUCAGUCCAGACAUUCUCAUCCAUUACUUCUUCCAUUGGUGAGCUUCUCAUCUCCUCGUUCGAUAAUUUGUAUUUAUCUAUUUGAAUUUGUUGUUAUUUUUCGACAUCCUUUGAAAUGUGAUUUUGUGUUUUUGCUACAUUUUCUUCUCUCUCUUCAAUCUCAUUUUGUUCCUUCUUUAAUUGAAUGGUAAAAAAUGACAGCCAUGAAGGCCAUGUCUAAUACCCACAAAAAAGGCCAUGUCUGAUACCUGUAAUCGUAUCAAAGGAUUGUUCGUUUUAUAUGAAAACAGGGUCAUGUAAAUUCAGAUCAAGUUGCAAGUUUAAUCACCCUCCCAGAAGAAAGAAUUAGGUUUAUACAUAUCUAUAGAUGCCGUAAAUUAGCUUGUGCAUUAGUGUAAGAAUGUUUUUUGCAAAAGGAUUUUGACGGAGGGUACAUUUUUUUUUUUUUUUGGUUUAAAUUUUCGGUUAAGACCAUUAUUGAUUAUUACUCUACUUAUAUUUCUUAUAUACUAUGUAGGAAUCAGCUUUGAGUUUUGAAGUAUACUAGUAAGAGUUGUGGGGAAGAAUGAAGAUUGAAUAUGAAUUGAGGUUGGAGCUUUUAAGUUAUUGAAUAUGAAUCACGUUCGAUGCACAAGGAUCAAAGGACAAAGAUAUUGUUUAGUAUUGUUAUGUUGAUAAUAUUUUUUGUUAAAUUUGGAUUUUGAAUUUGAAAAUUGGGAUAUUGUUUACAUUUUCAUUUUUGAUGUUGUUUGCUACAUUAGUUUAGUAUUAUGUUUUUUUUUUUUUUUCAUUGACUUUUUUUUUUUGCAUAAAUUGUUUUUUUUUUAAUUUGAC